rnacentral:rRNA from 1 species
AACGAACGCUGGCGGCAGGCUUAAUACAUGCAAGUCGAGCGGUCUCUUUCGGGAGACAGCGGCGGACGGGUUAGUAACGCGUGGGAACGUGCCCUUUAGUACGGAAUAGCCAUUGGAAACGAUGAUUAAUACCGUAUACGCCCUAUGGGGGAAAGAUUUAUCGCUAAAGGAUCGGCCCGCGUUAGAUUAGGUUGUUGGUGGGGUAAUGGCCUACCAAGCCUACGAUCUAUAGCUGGUUUGAGAGGAUGAUCAGCAACACUGGGACUGAGACACGGCCCAGACUUCUACGGAAGGCAGCAGUAGGGAAUCUUGGACAAUGGGCGAAAGCCUGAUCCAGCCAUGCCGCGUGAGUGAUGAAGGCCCUAGGGUUGUAAAACUCUUUCGCCAGGGAAGAUAAUGACGGUACCUGGUAAAGAAACCCCGGCUAACUCCGUG